rnacentral:lncRNA from 1 species
GGCUUGAUUGAUUCCUCUCAUAAUCUUCUAUUUAUAAUAAUAAAUUGAUACAAGAGUACAUGAUAAUUAAAGUAACCUAGACACAAUAUAAUCAUGAUAAUUAGAGUAACCUAGACACAAUAUAAUUAUGAUAAUUAGAGUAAUCUAGACACAAUAUAAUUAUGAUAAUUAGAGUAACCCUAGACACAAUAUAAUCAUGAUAAAUAGGAUAAAUAUCCUAACAGAAAGAACAAUCUUUAGUCAUUUUCCAGAAAUGGACAUGUUUACUGGAAACCGAGGUGUGCUUCUGAUAGGACACUGGGUGAUAGGAUAGUUGGCAAGGGAGCCAAAUGGUAGGAGGAAGGGAAAGGCUACCAAACGAUAGAAGGCGGUUAAGAACUGGAACCGAACGGUAGGAGGCAGGGGAAAGCAAGCCAAACGAUGGAAGGUGGUGAAGAACUGGAACCGAAUGGAAGAGCUGGAACCAAUCGGUUGAAAAGUGACUAUCCUAACUGGAGCAACCCCAGUUAGGAUAGGCGGAAAAUAUUUAGAAAUAAUUGUAAAUAAAAUUAUAUCCUAAGGAAAUAUUCAGUACAAGUUAAUUACAAUAAUUAGAGCUAUAUCUUAGGGAAAUAUUCCAGCCUAGACGCUAUUGUUUAGGAUAUACUUUUGAUCAUUG